GUGGCAGAUUGUGUGAGUGCACGUGGUGGCCAACAAGAUUCGUUGAUCCGGUUGUGUCUAAACAUAGAAGAACUACAACCAUGUCUUAUAAAGCUGCUAACUGAAAAACUUCUAGAAAUUGCAUAUGAUGAUGAAAAUAGCAAUAGAGUGGAUUUUCCUUGCUUGAUUCUGGCUAAUCUUAAAUGGUUAGACAGGGUUGUAGAUUCAGAUACUCUGACUGCAAAAAUUGUGGACCUUAUUGAAGGAUCUCCUGUCAAGGUCCAACAGGAAGUCAUUAGUUUUGUGUCCAGCAUUGUAGAUGACGCCAACCACCCUAAGAUUGCUGAAGUGCUAUGGUAAGUAAUUUAUUGAAAAUUCGUAUGUAACAAAUACUUCUGUGGUAGUGAAAAACGGC